rnacentral:lncRNA from 1 species
AGCAGAUGGAAGUGACUGCUAGCCUCAAAAAUGACCAUGAAGUUUAUACAGAGAGCAGUAAAGCUUCUUUUGAUUAGAACGUGAACAAUAGGUCAAUUGUCUGCAUACAGUUCUGGGCUAACAGCUUUAAUACAAGGAAGCGAUAUGCAGAAAGCAGCUGUCAGCAAAGAUAUUUUUCUAUGGAAGCUCAAAUGUUAUCGAGGAUUCAGUCGAGCCACCUCCGUUUUCUGAUGGGAAGAUACUGUACAUACAGAGAAGAAUAUGAAGGUCUCCAUUGUUGUCACAAUACAAGGCUUUCAGCAGAGACCUGGAUUUGGUGAGAAAGAUAAAAAACAGUAAGUUUUCCCCAACUAAUUCUGCAGGGUUAGAUGUAUACCACAGACAUGUUGGAGUACUGGCAAAUUAAUUCUAAGAAUAUUAAACU